CUGCGGACUUAAGCAAUUGAGCCUUAGUAGAGAAAUCUAUUAAGUGAAUGCUCUCAAAUUCAGGGAAACCUACGUUUGUCCACAGGGCAAAUAUGGCAAUCCUGAGCCAAGCCGUUUCCCAGGAGCCUCCCUACGGAAACGGAAGGUGCAGAGACUCGACGGGAGCUACCCUACCGUAGAUCCUCUACGCGGGUAAAGGGAGAGUCCAAUCCUCAACACCCAAGGG
rnacentral:ncRNA from 1 species